UACGGAGGGUGCAAGCGUUGCUCGGAAUUAUUGGGCGUAAAGGGUAGGUAGGUGGUCUCAUUUGUCUGGGGUGAAAGCCUUGAGCUUAACUCAAGAAGUGCCCCAGAAACGGUGAGACUGGAGUCCUGGAGAGGGUCGUGGAAUUCCCGGUGUAGCGGUGAAAUGCGUAGAGAUCGGGAGGAACACCAGAGGCGAAAGCGGUUCUCUGGGCCUUACCUGACGCUGAGGAGCGAAAGCGUGGGGAGCGAACAGG
rnacentral:rRNA from 1 species